rnacentral:rRNA from 1 species
GACGAACGCUGGCGGCGUGCUUAACACAUGCAAGUCGAACGGAGUGGCUACCGGGUGAGUAACACGUGGGUGAUCUGCCCUGCACUUCGGGAUAAGCUUGGGACCCUGGGUCUACUACCGGAUAGUGCAGGAUGAUCUUCCGGCCUAUCGGCUUGUUGGUGGGGUGAUGGCCUACCACGGCGUCGACGGGUAGCCGGCCUGAGAGGGUGUACGGCCACGUUGGUACUGAGAUACGGCCCAGACUGAUACGGGAGGCAGCAGUGGGGAGUCUUGCGCAAGGGGCGGAAGCCAGAUGCAGCGAGGCCGCGUGGGUGAUGAAGGCUGUCGUGUUGUAAACUCCUUUCGACAGGGACGCGGUACCUGUAUAAGAAGCACCGGCUAACUACGUGCCAGCAGCCGCGGUAAUUC